rnacentral:tRNA from 1 species
GGCUUCAUAGUUCAGUUGGUGAGAGCAUCACACCAUUGCCACCGGGUCACAGGUUCAAACCCUGUUGAAGUCC